ensembl:rRNA 5S_rRNA 5S ribosomal RNA
GUCUACGGCCAUACCACCCUGAACGCGCCCGAUCUUGUCUGAUCUCGGAAGCUAAGCAGGGUUGGGCCUGGUUAGUACUUGGAUGGGAGAAUUAAAUGGAGAUACCAGCCUUGGCCU